UACGAAGGGGGCUAGCGUUGCUCGGAUUUACUGGGCGUAAAGGGCGCGUAGGCGGAUGUUUAAGUCGGGGGUGAAAGCCCGGGGCUCAACCUCGGAAUUGCCUUCGAUACUGGACAUCUUGAGUACGGGAGAGGUGAGUGGAACUCCGAGUGUAGAGGUGAAAUUCGUAGAUAUUCGGAAGAACACCAGUGGCGAAGGCGGCUCACUGGCUCAUUACUGACGCUCAGGCGCGACAGCGUGGGGAUCAAACAGG
rnacentral:rRNA from 1 species